rnacentral:tRNA from 1 species
UCCCUCAUAGCUCAGUCGGUAAAGAAUCUGCCUGCAACGCAGGAGACCUGGGUUCAAUUCCUCGGUUGGGAA